CCUACGGGAGGCUGCAGUGGGGAAUAUUGCACAAUGGGCGAAAGCCUGAUGCAGCAACGCCGCGUGGGCGAUGAAGGCCUUCGGGUCGUAAAGCUCUGUCCUCAAGGAAGAUAAUGACGGUACUUGAGGAAGAAGCCCCGGCUAACUACGUUCCAGCAGCCGCGGUAAGUCGUAGGGGGCUAGCGUUAUCCGGAAUUACUGGGCGAAAAGGGUGAGUAGGUGGUUUCUUAAGUCAGAGGUGAAAGGCUACGGCUCAACCGUAGUAAGCCUUUGAAACUGGGGAACUUGAGUGCAGGAGAGGAGAGUGGAAUUCCUAGUGUAGCGGUGAAAUGCGUAGAUAUUAGGAGGAACACCAGUGGCGAAGGCGGCUCUCUGGACUGUAACUGACACUGAGGCACGAAAGCGUGGGGAGCAAACAGGAUUAGAUACCCCAGUAGUC
rnacentral:rRNA from 1 species